AGAGUUUGAUCCUGGCUCAGGACGAACGCUGGCGGCGUGCCUAACACAUGCAAGUCGAGCGGAGACAGUGAGUAGCUUGCUAUGAGCUGUUUUAGCGGCGGACGGGUGAGUAACGCGUGAGCAACCUUUCCCAGACAGGGGAAUAACACACCGAAAGGUGUACUAAUACCGCAUAAGACCACGGUUUCACAUGGAACUGAGGUAAAAGAUUUAUCGGUUUGGGGUGGGCUCGCGUCCGAUUAGGUAGUUGGUGAGGUAACGGCCCACCAAGCCGACGAUCGGUAGCCGACCUGAGAGGGUGAUCGGCCACAUUGGGACUGAGACACGGCCCAAACUCCUACGGGAGGCAGCAGUGGGGAAUAUUGGGCAAUGGGGGAAACCCUGACCCAGCAACGCCGCGUGGAGGAAGAAGGUUUUCGGAUCGUAAACUCCUGUCCUUGGAGACGAGUAGAAGACGGUAUCCAAGGAGGAAGCCCCGGCUAACUACGUGCCAGCAGCCGCGGUAAUACGUAGGGGGCAAGCGUUGUCCGGAAUAAUUGGGCGUAAAGGGCGCGUAGGCGGCUCGGUAAGUCUGGAGUGAAAGUCCUGCUUUUAAGGUGGGAAUUGCUUUGGAUACUGUCGGGCUUGAGUGCAGGAGAGGUUAGUGGAAUUCCCAGUGUAGCGGUGAAAUGCGUAGAGAUUGGGAGGAACACCAGUGGCGAAGGCGACUAACUGGACUGUAACUGACACUGAGGCGCGAAAGUGUGGGGAGCAAACAGGAUUAGAUACCCUGGUGGUCCUCGCUGUAAACGAUGGAUACUAGGUGUGCGGGGACUGACCCCCUGCGUGCCGCAGUUAACACAAUAAGUAUCCCACCUGGGGAGUACGAUCGCAAGGUUGAAACUCAAAGGAAUUGACGGGGGCCCGCACAAGCGGUGGAUUAUGUGGUUUAAUUCGAAGCAACGCGAAGAACCUUACCAGGUCUUGACAUCCUGCUAACGAAGUAGAGAUACAUUAGGUGCCCUUCGGGGAAAGCAGAGACAGGUGGUGCAUGGUUGUCGUCAGCUCGUGUCGUGAGAUGUUGGGUUAAGUCCCGCAACGAGCGCAACCCCUAUUGUUAGUUGCUACGCAAGAGCACUCUAGCGAGACUGCCGUUGACAAAACGGAGGAAGGUGGGGACGACGUCAAAUCAUCAUGCCCCUUAUGACCUGGGCUACACACGUAAUACAAUGGCGGUUAACAAAGGGAUGCAAAGCCGCGAGGCAGAGCGAACCCCAAAAAGCCGUCCCAGUUCGGAUCGCAGGCUGCAACCCGCCUGCGUGAAGUCGGAAUCGCUAGUAAUCGUGGGUCAGCAUACCACGGUGAAUACGUUCCCGGGCCUUGUACACACCGCCCGUCACACCAUGAGAGUCGGGAACACCCGAAGUCCGUAGCCUAACCUGAAAAGGAGGGCGCGGCCGAAGGUGGGUUCGAUAAUUGGGGUGAAGUCGUAACAAGGUA
rnacentral:rRNA from 1 species